GGCUUUUUGGCUGCUCCCUUCACCCGCUCUCUGCCUUGUCCUCGGAGGCAGUUUUAAUCACUGCACUGCAGAAGCCCUCAUGGCCCAGCUCACAAGGUAAAAGCCCGACUCUGGGGCUUGGCUCUUGACUACCUGGUCCUGCCCACAGCCUCCCUUCCAAAGCAGUGUGCUCCCGUGCGGUUCUCCCUGCUUCUUCCCUCCCCUCCCCGCGCCCACUGCCGGUAUCCCUGUCACGUCACACUCAGCUCUCACUUCUGCCUCCUCCCUGGCUCGGACUGUGGUCUCCUGGCAGACCUGGCCCACACCUUCCUCCUCCCGGAGGAGAGAGAAAGGCGCAGAGAGGAGGUCAGACUCAAGUCCUGCAGUGAUUCACCCACUCCAGCUCCCUUGGCAAAUGCGCUUGUUAAGAAUGCUUUGGUUCUGGGGCCGGGGACUUAGCUCAGUGGCUUCACCGCCCGCUGCGCAAGCGCAAGGACCUGAGUUUGAUCCCCGGUACCAAAACAAAGAAUGCUUUGGCUCAAGGCUCUGGACUUGGAUUGAGACUGGACUCAGAGGGAAGCGUCUUUCCUCCUGUAGCCAAGACAGAGAGGCUAACUGCGAGGGAAGAGACCCAAAUCACCUCUGGCCAGAUACCGUGCCCCCAGGUCCUCUCCCUGGGCCUGCCCCCGUGACAUGGCUCUCUUUGCCCCAGAACUGGAGCUCUGAAAAGCACAACACCCAGGCUCCUUCCUGGCCUGGCCAAGGCAGCAGAGCCUUCUCCCUCUCAUGCGAGAUCAGGUUGGAAUCCACCAGGGGAGCCUACAGAGAGGAACCAAGAGGACUAAAGAAUGACCCAGCAAGAGGAAGUGGGGUUGGCAGAGAGCCUUCCGCCUGUGCUGGAGAAGAGAGACGCCUCACCUGCCCCAGAGCGCCACCCACCCUGAGAGACAGCCAGGACAGCAGGCGCUGGGCCCACGGGGCUCCUCUGCGAAGCCCGAGGCGGU
rnacentral:lncRNA from 1 species